rnacentral:rRNA from 1 species
CCUACGGGAGGCAGCAGUGAGGAAUAUUGGUCAAUGGACGAGAGCCUGAACCAGCCAAGUAGCGUGAAGGAUGACUGCCCUAUGGGUUGUAAACUUCUUUUAUAUGGGAAUAAAAUGUUCCACGUGUGGGAUUUUGUAUGUACCAUAUGAAUACGGAUCGGCUAACUCCGUGCCAGCAGCCGCGGUAAUACGGAGGAUCCGAGCGUUAUCCGGAUUUAUUGGGUUUAAAGGGAGCGUAGGUGGAUUGUUAAGUCAGUUGUGAAAGUUUGCGGCUCAACCGUAAAAUUGCAGUUGAAACUGGCAGUCUUGAGUACAGUAGAGGUGGGCGGAAUUCGUGGUGUAGCGGUGAAAUGCUUAGAUAUCACGAAGAACUCCGAUUGCGAAGGCAGCUCACUGGACUGCAACUGACACUGAGGCUCGAAAGUGUGGGUAUCAAACAGGAUUAGAUACCCCAGUAGUC